rnacentral:lncRNA from 1 species
GUCCCGGGUAAUGGAAGUAGGGGUCCGCAGAGUACAACUCAGCCUACUGCUGAUACUCAGCAAAUGGCAGAGGAUGCUGUGGUUUGAGCACUUGGUGGGGACAUCUAGAAAUGAGCACAGCGUGGAUCAUUCUUCACAUCCAAUUGAGAAGACUUAGUGCAGGGUUUGGUAUCAGGCAGGACCUGUAGAUACGGGGCAGUGCUGAGCCCCUGCUGAUUACUGGUUGUGGUGUCUUAGCCAUUGUUUGUGUAAGAAUAUGUGUGCAGUUGGGUGGGAUUAUGAGUCAACCCCGGGUGCUGCAUCACCUUUCCCCCUCUUCUUGGACAGGUUCAGCUUGUUCUGGUCUACCUAUACUCAACCUGCUUCCCCAUUAGCUUCUGGCCAGACUUCUUUCCAUGGCUGCGGAAUUGCAAGAAAUACCAUACUCAGACUACUGCCAGAGAAUAAUGACAUUUACCCCUUGUCUGUGCUUUGUGUGAGGGCUGUCUGGGUCCCAUAUAUGAAGGAGUGUCACUGGGUGGUCACGCAACUGAAUCACGCAAUUUUAUCUUCUUCCCAUAACAUAUAGUUUCUCUCAAGAGGAAUUACCUUCAUGAUUACUUCCCAUCUUUCCCCAAACUUGAUGGGCCAUGGUCUAGAUCUUCUGCAAAUGUCAUCUCUCAAAUUUGCCUUCAUCUGAUCUUUUUAUAAUGUAUCUGAGCUAUAAUCCUGUAGACCCUGAGGCUGGGUCUACAGACUUGCUGUAGCAAGAGCUUUCCCAGUAUAAAGGCAUUUCUUCCCAACUCAGUCUUCUAGAAAUGAUGCUUUCAUGGCUUAUAAGUUUCUGACUGGUUGCUUCUGAGAGAAAUUGUCCCCCAAUACCUGGCCAUUCGCAGUUUACCCUGUUUGUCAUGGUGACAUCAUAUGAGUUUUCCCAAAAGUUUCCUCCUAAUUUGCCUCCUACAUAUCUCUUCCCUGAUGUCCAGAAUAAUUUACGGUCCUCUCCCCAUCGGGUGUGUGUUUGUUUGUUUGUUUGUUUUUUGUGACUGCGAGGAGGGGAGUGGACCCCUCAACCAUGUGCAUGCCCCCGCUGCUGCCAUCCCCCUGUCCCCUCUUGACUGCCAGCAACAGCUUGGUAUGGGCCCAAUGCCCAUCCAUUUUCAGGGCUAGUUGAUUUGGCAGGUGAGUUGUUACACACUCCUUGGCAGAUCCUCUCCCCAUAUGUUAAUAUUCAACAUUUGGUCACUCUUCCUCUUACCGGUUACUUUUUCCUCUCACUUUCUCUGUUUAUAAGCUUUUUCUACCUACUUUUGUGUGAGAAAAAUUAGCAUGUGUUGGAGGGUGUUUCUGCUUAUGGGAGUAUAGGUCAUGGGUCUUGGGGUAUGUUCCUUGUACUUACACAUAUGUCCAUGGGGCCCCAUCCUUGCUGGCACUGGUGUGUUUCCCUGCAGCCCCCUCUGCUGGGGUCUGCUGCUGUUUCUGAGGGUGUGUUUGUUUGUUUCACUGGUGUAGUUAUAUAUGUGGAGCUCUAUAUUUCAGAUUUACGUAUCUUUCCAGGGAUGAAUGGCUGUCUUAAAACAGAUCACAGUGGUGGAGAUUUGGAGAAUCAGUGAUCUGGUCUAUAAGCCCUGAAAGUGGUUAAGAAACAAAUACAAAGAAUUAAGCAGAUGGGUGCUAUUAUGCCUGGAAUAAAAGGCUUGCUUGGUUCUUAAGCCUACUUCUAAUGCCCACUGUGCAUUGCUCUCUGGAGCAGGACUGCUGCUGCUAAGGACUUCUGGUGUGAGAAAGGGACUGGGAAGGAAUGCUUCCAGCCACUGGGAACAUGGAAUGGUGCCCCCUCAGGAAGCAUGUUAAUUGACCUAAGUCAGCAGAGUCAGCCCGGCUCUUCUGCCCCCAAAUUCCAGGGUUCCAGGUAAGUACAGUUGCUUAGAGUCAGCUCAUAUCUACUGUUGGGACCGCACGUGGUAUUGCCAGG